rnacentral:rRNA from 1 species
AUUGAACGCUGGCGGCAGGCUUAACACAUGCAAGUCGAGCGGAGAGAGGUAGCUUGCUACUGAUCUUAGCGGCGGACGGGUGAGUAAUGCUUAGGAAUCUGCCUUUUAGUGGGGGACAACAUUUCGAAAGGAAUGCUAAUACCGCAUACGUCCUACGGGAGAAAGCAGGGGAUCUUCGGACCUUGCGCUAAUAGAUGAGCCUAAGUCGGAUUAGCUAGUUGGUGGGGUAAAGGCCUACCAAGGCGACGAUCUGUAGCGGGUCUGAGAGGAUGAACCGCCACACUGGGACUGAGACACGGCCCAGACUCCUACGGGAGGUAGCAGUGGGGAAUAUUGGACAAUGGGCGGAAGCCUGAUCCAGCCAUACCGCGUGUGUGAAGAAGGCCUUAUGGUUGUAAAGCACUUUAAGCGAGGAGGAGGCUACUUUAGUUAAUACCUAGAGAUAGUGGACGUUACUCGCAGAAUAAGCACCGGCUAACUCUGUGCCAGCCGCCGCCGUAA